GUCUGUUGCGUUGCUUCAACAAAGCACCUGAUAAUAGGUGGCUGAUAGCCUUGGUGAAAGAUAACUCAUUAACAGCAAAACUGAUCGACUGGUAGCACGAACAAAACAUAUGAUUUAACUCCGCAAAGCACUUAUAUCAUGGAAAUAAAACCGUCAUCGGUUUAAACAAAAUACGGCUAUGAUUAUGUUAAUUAUCAAUGUGAGGAGGAAUUCUUCAAGAGAAUUGUUAAAGCUGCCCAUUCUAAAGUUAUACCAACUAGAUAAAUGACCUAAACUUUGAGGUUUACAUGUACACACCUGAUAAAUGAUAUUUGAGAAACACGUGAUUUCUGAACUGCAAUUGGUAUCCUACGUUGAUGUUAGAAGACAUUCAGACUUCUGUAGGUAAAAUAUGACAGAAAGACCACCAGUGCUUAAGGCUUCUAUGUUGUGCAUAAUAUGCUCUUUGUAAACGUUAAAUUUUUUAAUUAAAGUAUGUCGUUCCA